GUGAGGAAUUUUCCGCAAUGGGCGAAAGCAGGACGGAGCAAUGCCGCGUGAAGGAUGAAGGCCUAUGGGUAGUAAACUUCUUCUCUUAGAGAAGAAUAUUGACGGUAUCUGAGGAAUAAGCAUCGGCUAACUCUGUGCCAGCAGCCGCGGUAAGACAGAGGAUGCAAGCGUAAUCCGGAAUGAUUGGGCGUAAAGCGUCUGUAGGUGGCUUCAAAGGUCUCCUGUCAAAGAUCAGGGCUUAACCCUGGGGCGGCAGGCGAAACUAUGGGGCUAGAGUUUGGUAGGGGCAGAGGGAAUUCCCAGUGGAGCGGUGAAAUGUGUAGAGAUCGGGAGGAACAACAAAGGCGAAAGCACUCUGCUGGGCCACAACUGACACUGAGAGACGAAAGCGAGGGGAGCAAAAGGGAUUAGAAACCCUGGUAGUCC
rnacentral:rRNA from 1 species